GUGCCAGCCGCCGCGGUAAUACGAACUGCGCGAACGUUAUUCGGAAUCACUGGGCUUACAGGGUGCGUAGGUGGCAGAGAAAGUAGGGUGUGAAAUGCCUUGGCUCAACCAAGGCACAGCGCUCUAAACUCCUUUGCUUGAGUGAGUCAGGGGUGCACGGAACUUCCGGUGGAGCGGUGAAAUGUGUUGAUAUCGGAAGGAACACCGGCGGCGAAAGCGGUGCACUGGGGCUUAACUGACACUGAGGCACGAAAGCCAGGGGAGCGAACGGGAUUAGAAACCCCCGUAGUCC
rnacentral:rRNA from 1 species